GGAGAUUUGAGGGCAGGCUGGAUGACAGAGAACACAACAUUCCUGAGGAAGAGCAGGGUCACUCUUGAUUUAGGGUGAGCAUUCGUACUUGAACCGCUUUCCUUUUUAUCUUGGGGCUGAGAUCCAAGGCACACACAACCUCAUGGAGUGGAAAUGGAAUAAAUAAUAAAAAUAAUUUGUUGAGCACUUCA